rnacentral:rRNA from 1 species
GUAGGUGGCAAGCGUUGUCCGGAUUUAUUGGGCGUAAAGCGAGCGCAGGCGGUUUCUUAAGUCUGAUGUGAAAGCCCUCGGCUCAACCGGGGAGGGUCAUUGGAAACUGGGAGACUUGAGUGCAGAAGAGGAGAGUGGAAUUCCAUGUGUAGCGGUGAAAUGCGUAGAUAUAUGGAGGAACACCAGUGGCGAAGGCGGCUCUCUGGUCUGUAACUGACGCUGAGGCUCGAAAGCGUGGGGAGCAAACAGGAUUAGAUACCCUGGUAGUCCACGCCGUAAACGAUGAGUGCUAAGUGUUGGAGGGUUUCCGCCCUUCAGUGCUGCAGCUAACGCAUUAAGCACUCCGCCUGGGGAGU